AAGGUUUAGAUAUUUUUCUCUUCUCUUUCCAACGAAGAUGUACAACGGAAUCGGCCUACAAACGCCGCGAGGCUCCGGCACCAACGGCCACAUCCAGACCAACAAGUUCUUCGUCAAGUCGAAGACGAACAAAGUCCUUGUAGACGGCGGCAAAGGUUACGAAUCCGGUCAAGGAACUGCCGGAGUGUCGAGGAAAGCCAAUAAGGACAUUCUCGAACAUGACCGGAAACGGCAGAUUCAGCUCAAACUUCUUGUCCUUGAGGAGAAGCUUGCCGAUCAGGGAUACACUGAUGCUGAGAUCUCCGAGAAGCUCGAGGAAGCGCGAAGGAAUCUAGAGGCAACAUCUGAGGAAUUUGGAGGACCUACCUAUGAAAAGGUUUCGGAAACACAAACACACCAGAUUGCUGCUUUGAAAGAAAAACAAAUGGAAAACUUAAAAGCUGCUCUCAAGAUAGGGGCUGAACACGAGACUCAGAAGCAGCAGCAUGAUGCUUUAGCUCAUUUUGAAGAGGGUGAAGUUAAUGACUUGGCAAAAGAGAAGGACGAGGGUAAGCGUCAUAAGAAAAAUGAGAAGAGGAGAGGACGUGACAAUUCUUCUGACACUGACAGCAGUGAAAGCCAUGCCAAAGAGUCUAAGAAGAUCCGUAAGAAGGCUCAUGAUAGUUCUGAUUCUGAUACUGCUGGUGGUAAUAAGUCAAGAAAGUUGUCUGCCAAGGACAAGAAGGCUAGAAGGCGGCAUCACAGUGACAAUUCAUCCUCUGAUUCUGAUUCUGACUCUUAUUCAGAGUCUGAUCAUGAGAAGAAACACGUGAAAGUCCAUAGGAGACAUUUUGUGGGUGAUGAUGAUGGCCGUGAUGCAAAAACCAUUAAGCUUCAACAGGGUAGAAGACAUGAUUCUGAUGAGGAUGACCAUGUCAAUGACCGUGAUGUCAAAAACAAGACGAUUCAGAAAGAGAAAAGACAUGUUGCUGAGGAUAAAUAUGAUGAUGGUCAUUAUGCUAAAAAAAAGACCUCCCAAAGAGGUAGAAGACAUGAUUCUGAUGAGGAUGACCAUGACAAUGACCGUGAUGUCAUAAACAAGAUGAUUCAGAAAGAGAAACGACAUGUUGCUGAGGAUAAAUAUGAUGAUGGUCGUGAUGCUAAAAACAAGACCUCACAAAGAGGUAGAACACAUGAUUCUGAUGACAAUGAUGAUGGUCGUGAUGCUAAAAACAAGAAGUCACAGAGAGAUAGAAGACAUGAUUCUGAUGGUAGUGAUCGUGAUGUAAAAAGCAGGAAGAUUCAGGAAGGUAGAAGACAUUUUACUGAGUAUGAUGAUGUUGGUGAUGCUAAAAAUAAGAAGUCACAAAGAAAACACUAUUCUGAUGAUGAUGAUGAUGGUGAUCUUGAUGUAAAAAGCAGGAAGAUUCAGGAAGGGAGAAGACAUAAUACUAAGGCUGAUUAUGUGAUUGAUGGAUCAAGUGCUAGUCAGGAUUUGUUGCGGGGUAAGAGAAAACUAGACGAUGAAAGCCUGGAUCAACGUGAGGGGAAGUCAAGGAGGAGAGAUUCUAGUAAAGAUGAAAAGUAUGGAAGGGCUGAUACUGAAUCUGAGAACCCAAAUAGGUCAUACAGGAGUGCAGAGGAUAGGAGUAAAGAUCAACAGACAAGAAGAUCUGGUGGAGAAUAUGAAGGUAAUGAUGGAGAGCGUGAAAAUAUGAUUCAGAGUGGGAAUGAGCUGCAACGUGAAAGCCGACGAGAGAAUCGAGAUUAUGAAGUGCGUGGACAGGAGAGAAGAGAAAGCAGGGAUGAUGACCGCUGGGAAAGGAAACACAAAAGAGAUGAAGAGGAAGAUCAGUACUGGAAGCAUGAGAAAGAAGGGGAAUCUCAGCGUGGAAGGCAUGAACAGGAGGAGGAGCGUAGAAGCAGAAUGCGUGAUAGUUACAAAGGUCAUGAUUCAUACAAGAGGGCUAGACAUGAUGAUUCACAUUCUAGUGGAAGGAGAAGAUUUGACGAUGAAAAGUAUGCUGAUAGGCAGACUAGGCGGUGAAAGCUGCUCUAUAGAUAUUGUGUCAUGUCAGAAGAUCAAUAGGUGUUUUGCUACUAUUUAGGGGUGUUCCUUAUUCGAACUUAGCUAGUCUAUGAAGGAAUAUAACUGCUGGUCAAGGCAAGGGUAAAUUCCCAAGGCAAUGAGAUGUAGAGACAUUGGUGCUAAACUGGAAUCAGCUCAGUGGAGGGGAAGAAGUGGCUGAUGUCUGGAAAACAAAGCAUAAAGAGGCAAAGCUUGGUUAGCUGUCUAGUACCAAAGGGAUGUGUGUGGGGUUUAGUUGUCGAAAUACUCUGAAGUGUAGCUAACGCCUAAAUGGGAUUUUCCUGAUGACCCUGAAAUUGUUGUGCAAGGGUUGACUGUAAUAAGUUCUUUCGUUGUCAUAUCUUUGACUCUUGUAUGAUAUCUUAUUUGGGAAUGUGUGCUACAUUUGCUUCCUUGGGUGAAGUGAGGUUCCAGGCUCAUGUAGAACAUGCAUGUUUUCCUUUUGGUGAUUUUGAUUGCAAUAGAUUUUGCAGAACAUGUUUUGGAA